rnacentral:rRNA from 1 species
UACGGAGGAUCCAAGCGUUAUCCGGAUUUAUUGGGUUUAAAGGGUGCGUAGGCGGCCUAUUAAGUCAGGGGUGAAAGACGGUAGCUUAACUAUCGCAGUGCCUUUGAUACUGAUGGGCUUGAAUGAACUAGAGGUAGGCGGAAUGUGACAAGUAGCGGUGAAAUGCAUAGAUAUGUCACAGAACACCAAUUGCGAAGGCAGCUUACUAUGGUUUAUUGACGCUGAGGCACGAAAGCGUGGGGAUCAAACAGG